ACGGCUACCACAUCUAAGGAAGGCAGCAGGCGCGCAAAUUACCCAAUUCUAACAGCAUAAGAGAGGUAGUGACAAGAAAUAACAGUACAAGGCAGUUAAAAUGCUUUGUAAUUGGAAUGAUAGAAAUUUAAAUACUUUUUAAAGUAUCAAUUGGAGGGCAAGUCUGGUGCCAGCAGCCGCGGUAAUUCCAGCUCCAAUAGCGUAUAUUAAAAUUGUUGCAGUUAAAAAGCUCGUAGUUGAAUUUUUGCUAAAAAUAACCGGUCUGCUUUUAUUAAUAAAAGUGGUAUCUUGGUGUGUUUUUAGCAAUAAUGUCCUUUGAAAUGUUUUUUACUUUAUUGUAAAAAACAAUUUUCAGGAUUUUUACUUUGAGAAAAUUAGAGUGUUUCAAGCAGGCUAACGUUUUGAAUACUGCAGCAUGGAAUAAUAAAAUAGGAUUUUAGUUCUACGUUAUUGGUUUUAAGAACUAAAUUAAUGAUUGAUAGGAGCAGUUGGGGGCAUUUGUAUUUAACUGUCAGAGGU
rnacentral:rRNA from 1 species